AAAAUAUUUUCUCCGUCCCACAAUUCCUGUCUUAGAUUUGUCGAGAUAUGAACAUAGCUAGUCAUCUCUUAGUUUCAGAUACAGUCAUUUCUACACAAAUCUAAGACAAGAAUUUUGGGACGAAGGGAGUUUAAA
rfam:Hordeum vulgare subsp. vulgare, WGS project CAJW01000000 data, contig: morex_contig_38509